AUGUAUCUUAGCUGGUAGAGUGCUUACCUCACAUGCAGGAAGCCCUGGGUUCGAUUCCCAGCAU
rfam:Mesocricetus auratus contig005402, whole genome shotgun sequence.